GAUGAACGCUGGCGGCGUGCCUAAUACAUGCAGGUCGAGCGAACGGACGAGAAGCUUGCUUCUCUGAUGUUAGCGGCGGACGGGUGAGUAACACGUGGAUAACCUACCUAUAAGACUGGGAUAACUUCGGGAAACCGGAACUAAUACCGGAUGAUAUUUUGAACCGCAUGGUUCAAAAGUGAAAGACGGUCUUGCUGUCACUUAUAGAUGGAUCCGCGCUGCAUUAGCUAGUUGGUAAGGUAACGGCUUACCAAGGCAACGAUGCAUAGCCGACCUGAGAGGGUGAUCGGCCACACUGGAACUGAGACACGGUCCAGACUCCUACGGGAGGCAGCAGUAGGGAAUCUUCCGCAAUGGGCGAAAGCCUGACGGAGCAACGCCGCGUGAGUGAUGAAGGUCUUCGGAUCGUAAAACUCUGUUAUUAGGGAAGAACAUAUGUGUAAGUAACUGUGCACAUCUUGACGGUACCUAAUCAGAAAGCCACGGCUAACUACGUG
rnacentral:rRNA from 1 species